CUCUACCUUCUGGGCUUGGUGGACUUCUACAUGCAACUGGUGGAAAUCCCAAAUGAAGGUGGCAGCUGUGGUGGUGGGGCCAGGAGCAGCCACAUGGUGUGAGGGGUGGCAGCUGCCGCGUCCCCCUGAGGACGAACCCCCCCCGACCCACAGAGGAGCCUCAGCAUUGCGUUGCGCACCCCAACAACUCGCCCCAGGGAAGGACAGGUUUUUGGGAGGGGGUUGCUUUCUGCUUUCUGGAGCUUAAUUGCCGUGCAUUAAUUAAACGCUUUAUUAUUUUUUUCUACCUGAAAUGUGCCCGUUUUCCUUCGCUGCCUCACUCCUGCGUGGUGGGGUGAGAGAGCUGCCCGGCUGGCAACCAGCCGCUCAGGGCUUGUUAGCUGCAAAGGAUAAUCAUCAUAACUGAAACGUCUGCCAAGAUCAAUAAUUACCUGUGGAGUG